rnacentral:tRNA from 1 species
GCCUUCGUGGUGUAGUGGUCAGCACGCUCGACGCGUAACUGAGAGGUCCGUGGUUCGAUUCCCGGAGAAGGCG